AAGAACUCGGUGAGAACAGCGUCGAAGUCAUCCCUCAAGGUGUACGAAGGCAGGCAAGACGAAUCCGAAAAAGUGCUUAUAGUUGAAGAUGGCCACGCCCUGAACCUAAGAAAGUCUUCUGUGCUAGCUAAGAAGUCUUUUACUUCGAGACAUAACUGAAGAAGGUGUUCACGAGCAAUAUGUUGAUGGCGCCCACUAUCAAGCGAAUUUAUACGAAGAUACAAGCAAGAAAGCUUCGUUGUUCAUUGAACCUCUACCAGGAGGAGAUUACCAUAUUGUUGGCCUGCUGAAUCAUACUCACCGAAUCGAACCUCUGGUAUCUAUGGAAAGAUCCGGAAGAACCGUGCACGAGGUGACACAGCUUGCUAACAA
rnacentral:lncRNA from 1 species